UGUCUUGUCUCGCUGUGGACAAGCGUGCGGGGAUGGAAGUCGCUGCUCGCCAGUGGGUGUCGUCAGCGCGAGUCAAGUCAGCGUCGCUGCCUUCCACAUCGGGCAGCGGGGCGUCCAGGUGGGGCCGUUGUCCUGGCGCAUCAUGUCGUCAUUAUUUCCCCUAUCAGAUGGCAAGCGCGUGCUGGAGACGAAGGUGGAGAGGGGUUGCCUGUUCAUUGUGCCUCGGUUCUUUGUGGUGUCAAAGAUCGCUGAUGCUGAGGGAAUGGAGUGGUUCUCCAUCAUCACCACUCCCAACCCGGUGUUUACUCAUCUGGCAGGGAGGACAUCUGUGUGGAAGGCAAUGUCCGCAGAGGUGCUGCAGGCUUCAUUCGACACCACCCCUGACAUGGAGAAGCUGUUCAGGUCCAAGAGGACCUCUGAUGAGAUCUUCUUCCCUCCUCCAUCCUCCGCUUCCUAGCCAAGCCAGGAUCUGAACUCCAUGGUACUAAAGAUCAGUAGAAUUUGCGUGUGCAAGACUUUGAUAAGACUUUCUAAUAAUGAUUUUUAAGACAAAGGUGCUUUGUUGAUACUUUGAUCAGUGUAAGUUGUAAGCUAAGCGAUCCAAAUCUACAAAAUUCUCUUUA